rnacentral:rRNA from 1 species
GACGAACGCUGGCGGCGUGCUUAACACAUGCAAGUCGAACGGUAAGGCCCUUCGGGGUACACGAGUGGCGAACGGGUGCGUAACACGUGAGCGACCUGCCCAGUUGCGGGGGAUAGCCGGCCCAACGGCCGGGUAAUACCGCAUACGCUUCCUUGGGGGCAUACCUGGGGAAGGAAACCUACGGGGCGAUUGGAGGGGCUCGCGGCCUAUCAGCUAGUUGGCGAGGUAACGGCUCACCAAGGCGAUGACGGGUAGCUGGUCUGAGAGGAUGGCCGGCCACAUUGGGACUGAGAGACGGCCCAGACUCCUACGGAGGCAGCAGUGGGGAAUCUUGCGCAAUGGCCGAAAGGCUGACGCAGCGACGCCGCGUGGAGGAUGACGCCC